rnacentral:rRNA from 1 species
UACGUAGGGUGCGAGCGUUGUCCGGAAUUACUGGGCGUAAAGAGCUCGUAGGUGGUUUGUCGCGUUGUCCGUGAAAACUCACAGCUUAACUGUGGGCGUGCGGGCGAUACGGGCAGACUGGAGUACUGCAGGGGAGACUGGAAUUCCUGGUGUAGCGGUGGAAUGCGCAGAUAUCAGGAGGAACACCGGUGGCGAAGGCGGGUCUCUGGGCAGUAACUGACGCUGAGGAGCGGAAGCGUGGGGAGCGAACAGG